UACAGAGGUGGCAAGCGUUGUUCGGAAUUACUGGGCGUAAAGGGCGCGUAGGCGGUUCGUUAAGUCCCGUGUGAAAUCCCUCGGCUCAACUGAGGAACUGCACGGGAAACUGACGGGCUUGAGUUCGGAAGAGGGAAGCGGAAUUCCGGGUGUAGCGGUGAAAUGCGUAGAUAUCCGGAGGAACACCGGUGGCGAAGGCGGCUUCCUGGACCGACACUGACGCUGAGGCGCGAAAGCUAGGGGAGCAAACGGG
rnacentral:rRNA from 1 species